rnacentral:tRNA from 1 species
GCUCAGCUGGUUGAGCAUCCAACUUUUGAUUUUGGCUCAGAUCAGGAUCUUGCAGUUCAUAGGUUCGAGCCCUGUGUUGGGCU